CACUUAACACUUUCAUUACCGCUACGAUUUUCACGAUGUUUUCUCGGGAGCCGCCUACAUUUUACGUUGGACUCGCUAGGUGAGUCGCCGGCGCUGCGAUACGAAUCAUUCGACUCGCCACGCGAGUUCAGUGGCAUUGCGUUAGGGUAAAAACUAUGUUCUGUUAUUUUUGUGGCCGUGACAGUGUACGUUACGUGUUUAAAGCAAUUAACUAGUAUAUGGUGUAAUUUAACAAAAAGAAAAUGGCAAGAAACACUAUAAAUAAACGAAAAGGCCACCACAAAACACAAUAACAUAGAACACAAGAAUCUCAAAGUCCAGAAAACGUUUGCCAGGGGUUAAAACAGUAGGUACUCCAACAGGUCCAGUAAUCGAAAGCCAAGUCACAAUGAUAGAAAACAAAUAUACGCGUGCGAUAAGGAAAGGGUCGUGCUUAACACUAAUCUAUAUAUAAAGAAAGUCGGGUUUGUUACAACACUUCACUCGAGAUUGACCAAUGAGAGCUUGGCAAAAACAAUGUUAUCAGUGCUUUUAUUGCUUACUAACCAGAGCGUUCAUGUAAAAAAAUACCGGUUCCUUUUGUUUUGCCGGCAAUUUUUAACAAUGCGAAGGGAUCCUCUUUCAGUUGUAACUCUUAAAGUAAUAGACCGAGAGUUGAGUUUGUGUUUUCUGCACCGUUCGUUUAACAAAAACGCAAGGACAGACUCAAAAACUUAGAAGUACCCAUUUGGUGAACACCAAAUUCGAGCCCCUACAAGGUGUCGAACACAAUCCGCCGUUGUUUUACGAGUGAAUGUGACUUUUGGUAAAAUGAAAAUAAAAGUAUCUACCUUU
rnacentral:lncRNA from 1 species